rnacentral:rRNA from 1 species
UACGUAGGGCGCAAGCGUUGUCCGGAAUUACUGGGCGUAAAGAGCUCGUAGGUGGUUUGUCGCGUUGUUCGUGAAAACUCACAGCUUAACUGUGGGCGUGCGGGCGAUACGGGCAGACUAGAGUACUGCAGGGGAGACUGGAAUUCCUGGUGUAGCGGUGGAAUGCGCAGAUAUCAGGAGGAACACCGGUGGCGAAGGCGGGUCUCUGGGCAGUAACUGACGUGGAGGAGCGAAAGCGUGGGGAGCAACAGG